GCUCAAUGGUCUUCAAAGCGUCCUCCAAUCUCUUCAACAAUUCCUCUUCUGCUGUGGCCCAACUAGCCCUUUCACCCUCAAUGAUAUCCACCAGAGCGUGAUUUUCAUGAUCCAACCGUUCUGCUUUCUCUUUUACAGCCUCACACUCUAUUGUUUUCUCCCGAAGCAUUAUAGUCAACUGAUCCGCCCUUUCCCCUCCAUUCAACCUCUCCGUUGAUUCUGGACCAUUUUGUUUCAAGUGAUUUACUCCCUUUAUAUUACCAUUGUUGUUAGAUUGUCCAUUAUCAUUGAUUGAGUGACUUCUUCCGGAUGCUGCAGAAUCACGCAGAGGACGUGCAGGAGCAAGGGAUGCCUCACCAUCGCUUAGAUUGCGUGAUGGACUUUCA
rnacentral:misc_RNA from 1 species